CAUUCAGAUUGAUGUUAUAUCUACGUAACCAACAUUAUAUAAUUAAACAAGCGUGAUCAUACAUGAAGAACUCUCCAAAUACUUCUUUACAGUAAAGGUAAUUUAAAAAUGUCUCGGUAAAGUAUACACCAAAGUUUGAAGAGCUUUUAAAAGUCUGGGAAGAUGUCAAGGAGUCUUGGUCGCCGAUAACAAUAAUAAACGGCAAUGGCGUAUGUUUUGACAAGACAGUGUAAAAAAUCUGACGGCAUAGAAAGAGCGACAGUAAAACGUUUGCCAAAACUCUGAUGUGAUCAUUUGGGGGAAGAAUGAAGAGGUAUCUUCCCUCUCGGAAUGCAGAUGAGUCGCCACGAAUUGUAAAUUAUUGGUUCUACGAUGAUAUUUCCAACCAUAAUUUCUGUUGUUUAAUUUUGAACUUAUAUACGAACGAAAUCUUGAAGAUUAUAUCACGGAAGAAGGCGAAGCAAUAACAGAAUUGCGCGCUCGAAAGGUGAUACGUCAAGUGUUGGAAGGGCUCCAGCAUUACAUGCUAGAAAUCAUAGAAUUUUGCACACAGACUUGAAGCUGACAAAUAUACUUGUUAGAGUGGAUGGAAAUAUAGCGCUGUCUGAUUUUGAUAUUCGAC